UACGUAGGUGGCAAGCGUUGUCCGGAAUCACUGGGCGUAAAGCGCGCGCAGGCGGCGAUCUACGUCUGGGGGUGAAAGCCCGGAGCUCAACUCCGGGACUGCCUUGAAUACGGGAUCGCUUGAGGAUUGGAGAGGCAAGGGGAAUUCCACGUGUAGCGGUGAAAUGCGUAGAUAUGUGGAGGAACACCUGUGGCGAAGGCGCCUUGCUGGCCAAUUUCUGACGCUGAGGCGCGAAAGCGUGGGGAGCAAACAGG
rnacentral:rRNA from 1 species